AAUCAAUGAGCUUGUUAAGCAUAUAUUUUGAAAAUAUAAGAAAGAAUUAACUAAUUCUAUUGAUUU
rnacentral:tRNA from 1 species